AUCCAUGGACGCUCAUGCGACCAUCUGCUGCUGUCUUUUUAAAAGUUUUUAAGAAUGGACAGAGAUAGAUGAUACAAGGAACUUUGGUUUUUCAAACUGGCGAAUCAAAAAUUUAUUAUAAACAGAUAAAUUGAAAUGGGUGACUUGUCGAUUAACUGGAAGAAACCGGGGAACGAAACAUAGAAAAUUUAUGAAACGAAAGUUAACGAAACGAACGUCAAAGUGUUUUUGUUUUGAUGGAUAAUUUUACGUACCCUAAAAGCGCAACGAAAGCAUUUUCAAUGAAAGUACAUUUUGUACAUGUACUUCAAGAAGUAGAAGAAUCUAAGCAACAGAACAGAAUUCAUUUGAGGCAUUGCUUUCUAGAUUAUAUAAUGGAUUCAUAGAUUGUCAUAUUGAUUUAUGUGCAUAAAAGGAGCAGUAGUCAAUGAAUAAUUUUGUGAUGAGAGCUUAUUACCAUGGUUGCCAAAUUAAAGGAAAAUGCAGUAUUAGAAUCACUGGUGUACAUGUAGAUGCGGAUGUCCGGCAAAAAGAACUGGUAUCAAAGAACUGAAAAGUAAAGAAACAGAACCAAAGAACAUUAAUUUUAGAUUAAUACAAUAUUGAACUCAAAGUCAA